ACAAGCUCUCCGAAGGGUUUCUGACAGACCAAAAGUCCAAGUUAAGAAUUUCUCAAAGGCUCGGGCUCGAUUUUUGUCCGCAAUCACCGUAGUUGCUAAGUUGAGCUUCUUAGUUACUUUUAGUUUCAAGCUGAGCUUUUACAACAAGGUUUAGCUAAUAAAAUUAGUAGAAUUUGUCUACUAAAGGAAAACGGGCCUAAAACCCAAACAAACGACCAGACGAUCGAACAGUAAGUGCCAGUGACUUGGGAUCGCUACAGGUAUUUUUUAAAGAAGAUAGUUUCAGUUUUACAGGCUUAUGAGACACAGUCAGCACAAAAAAUCAACAUGGAGAAGAGUGUUUUUUCAUGCAUCAGAAUGCAGUUGCAACUCAUAAGCAAUUGGUUAAAGAGUGCACAGAACAUCAUCAUAAGGGAAAAAGCUCAGAAUCCGAAGUAUUUCGAGGUUAAUUCGAGGCAAGUGAAUUUCUAAAUAUUUGCUUAAGCUUGUACGAUCAUAUAUUCAUGUCUUAUAUGUUGAGGAGUAAUGGGAAGUGGUUUUGGGGACUAUUUGAUAUUCAAUUAAACUUGAUAAUGAAGAAUGGGGUAAUAAAUGGCAAAUGAGAUAAUUUAACAUGACGUAUUCAAUAUGAUUAAGUCUUGACUAAUUGUGAGUAUGUGGAUAGAUUGUUGUGACAUGAGUUAUGGAUUAUCAUUGAUAUCAUUCCAUUAUUGUGGUUUACAUAAACAUUGCCUAUUUGAAUAGGUUCUGCUAUAUAUUGAGAUGGAAAUGUGGAUAGAUUGUUGUGACAUGAGUUGUGACUUAUCAUUGAUAUCAUUUCAUUAUUGUGAUUUACAUGAACAUUGCCUAUUUACAUUAGUUCUGAUAUAUUGAGAUGGAAUUGAUUUGAGGAUUAUUCCGAAGGGAAAUGGUUCUGGAAAUGCCAAAGGAAAAUGGUUCUGAUGAGUGAUGAUUAUUCCAAAGGAAAAUGGUUAUGGCGAUGCCGAAGAAAAAUAGUUUUGGCGAUUGAUAUUUAUGCCGAAGCGAAAUGGUUCCAAUGGAUACAUGGUACAUUGUGCCCCUAUGGGUUUCGGACUUCUAGUCAGCAGAUGUGUAUCAUUAGGGCUAACAUGCAUCACUAUACGUGACAUUGCAUUGCACUACAUUGCAUCAUACAUCUUUUUCCAUUUGUGGAUAUGUUUACCCUUGAUAUUUCUGUGAUUUAUCCUAUUGAUUGGUGUGACUUGACUGAGACUUGAGCUGUGUUGUUGUUGAUAUAUAUAUAUAUAUACUUGUGUUGUUAGACUAGGCUGAUUUCUAUGCAGAUUGUAGUUUGAGGGGUUCGGUUGGUAUGACAUUCAUACUUGCAUUUUAUUAGCUUUGUUUAGUCUUAGUUGUUUACUUGCUGGUACCACAUUAUUGGUACUUACUUCUUGCUAACUACACUUGUAUAGGUUCUAAGCCCGAACAGUGACCCAGUUUCUUUCGUUCAUCUGAGGCUUACUAGAGAAAACUUGAGAGGUAGUUGUUGAUACUGGUGAUCUUUCUUGUUCCUUUUUAAUUUUACUUUGUUCUAUCUGAGAGACAAAGAUUUGAGACUUAUUUUUAUUUCAGUAUCAUUAUAUUUAGAGGCUUGUACAUGUGACAAUCAGUUC